GUUGGUAGAAAUAUGAAACUGUGUGGCAUGAUUGCUCUCUAUUUGAAAGUUUCACAUUAAUAGGUGCUGAGAUGAACGCUUUAACAACUAUUUCUUUUCUGACCUACAAAUGGCUUGAAACAAUGAUUUUUCACAGCUUCACCAGUGUGCUGUGGUGUGCUGAAACACAGGUUUAGAAUGACAGAACAGCCUGCAAAAACAGGUGUCCUGGUGACACACCAACUAUGACAGAUGAGCUAGUUUUGUCAUUGUGCAUGUUUUUUCAGUUGUUUCAAACAAAGUAGUGAAUCUUCUUAAAGAUUUAUCUAAUUUGGCAUGCCCUCAGUAAAAGGGUUAAUAUAAAAAUGAUUGAGAAAAAGCUAGAAGACAUUUUGCAACGGCGAACUAUGGAGCAACCUGCUUACAAGAGGAGGUUUUCUUUAGAUCUAAAUCAAGCUUCUUAAGGAAAACCACUAUUUUUGCUUCAGUAGUCCUAGCAUGUAUGGAAGCUCCUAUGAGAAGACUCACUAUUUUGUGAGUUACAUUUCCCAUCUAUUUUGGAUAUUUUAAUUUGCUGUAUUCAUUAAAAAACAGAUUUCUUUGGCUGAUUAAAUAUAUUUGGUCAUCAAUGUAUUACCAGCCAAUUUUAGCUAUUUUUUUUUUAUUUUUAGAGGUAAGAAAUACUGCUUGUAUCUAAAGUAAUACCAAAGAGAAAUUCACACAUUCAAUAACACUGAUAAGUAUUUGAAACUUUUUUUCACUUUGAAUCAUAUAUAAUGCAUACACAGUAGUAUCCAGGAGAAGACUGUCUGAAGACAACAGAAUGAAACACUGCUGUUUCUCUUCUGGAACUUUAAAAUGAAGAACUGAUCUGUCCGGUCAGAUUUACAGGAAGAAAAAAAAACAACCACAGAACCAAAUAAAAAAUUCAUCCUGGGUCAAACAACCCUCCACCCUAUCUCAGGGCAACGAACUAAAGCCUUUGCUCAGCACAUGGCAUAUUUAAUACUUGAUUAUUAUAAAACAAAGGCCUAACCACACCAGGAUUGGACAGUUAUUCACAACAGACACCCUGAAUAACAGCUCACCCACUUCCUCACAGUUUAAUUGACAAACCUCUCACUAAUUACAGAGAGAUGGGCGUUUGUGGGAGGAAUAUGAAAAUGGGGGAAGAAACAAACCCUGAGGAUUUCAGCCAUGCAAAAAAAACCUUUGUGAUAUGAAUUCAUAAAUAAUAGAUAAUAAAAAACAGGAAGUUGCAAGCUGACCUUGUUGUACCACAUUCUGAAAUCUCUGAGGGAAAUACUGGGACCUAACCGGGGUUCACUACUUCCCAGGCGCCUUUCCGAGCCCCUUCCCCUACCAUUAUGCCUAGC